UGGCUCUGGCAUCGAUGAAGAACGCAGCGAAAUGCGAUAAGUAGUGUGAAUUGCAGAAUUCAGUGAAUCAUCGAAUCUUUGAACGCACAUUGCGCCCCUUGGUAUUCCAUGG
rnacentral:rRNA from 1 species